UACGUAGGGUGCGAGCGUUGUCCGGAAUUAUUGGGCGUAAAGAGCUCGUAGGCGGUGUGUCGCGUCGGCCGUGAAAACCUGGGGCUUAACUCUGGGCGUGCGGUCGAUACGGGCAUCACUGGAGUUCGGCAGGGGAGACUGGAAUUCCUGGUGUAGCGGUGAAAUGCGCAGAUAUCAGGAGGAACACCCGUGGCGAAGGCGGCUCCUCUGGAACGCAACUGACGCUGAGACGCGAAAGCGUGGGGAGCAAACAGG
rnacentral:rRNA from 1 species